CAAAGGCAGUGACGGGAGCCUCAGCAGGCCCAUGCUGACCUGCUCUGCUGCAGAUGGGGUACCAUCUUCCCCAAGCUUCUGUGGAGAGCUGUGGGUGGGCAGAUAUCCAACAUCUAUCCCUCACACACCUGCUGCCUGCGUUCAGUCCCUGCUAAGACGGUCCGCUUUAUUCUGAGAAAUCUUUAAAUGGAAAGAGCAAAGGUGAAGAGAGUGAAUUUCUCAGGAACAUUUCCCUCCUCCCUGCCAAAAGCCUGGCUUCGUGGCCGUCCGCUGUGCUGCCCCGAGAGCCCAGGGCCCGUGAUGUAGAACGUCGCGGUGCUCCCUCUAGCGGCCGAUGUCCCGCACAGAGUCCUCAGUAGCUCUCCCGCCAGGACCGCGGCAGCCUGCUAAAAGCGACUGCAACACCCGCCCCCAGCUCUACAAGGGAGAAAGACAAGGUAUUUUUGCAAAAAAAAUGGGCUCCUUCCAGCUAGAUCCCGUGCCCUGGGAGAAGACUUCACCCUAUUCUACUCUCCCUGGUCAGGCAAGUCACAGAUGAGGAAAACUGCCCAGACUGCCUCAAACUGAGCUGUCCACCAAACGCAAACCUCUGAGCGGCUUCGCCAAGCCAAAUAUCCGUUCUGCCUGCUUGCUUGUUUGUUUGAUUUACCCAACAUUCACGUCGUCUCUGCACCUCCGUCACCCACAGAGCCGGCGCCUGCUGGAGUCACCUAAGAGUUCUUUAGCGUAUUUGCUGUGACUAGAGACAGUUCUGAACACACAUUCUUCUCUGGCCGAGCCUCGAGGACGUCCAGUCUGUGCCCACUGGGCAACAGACUGUCUCUACCCUUAACAUACCCCUUUGCCACUAUGCUGGCCACACACUUCAGCUCAGCUCUUCCAACAUAACCACCCCACCUGGCUCACCUCAGGGGCAAGGACCCAAAGGAUUUAAAUGUAAGACGAGAGAAAAGAGGGAAGAUGGAAGGGUAUGAUCAAUUAUCCACAUCUAAUCAAAGUUGGCGGUUAACACAAAGCCGCCCCCCGAACUGCCUGUUCAGUCAUGCUGUCAUCCGAGAACCAGGCUUCUCUCGCUUUAAUUCAAUAAAUUAAUUAAUUCGAA